UCCCAUGUGGUUCAGUUGGUUAGAGUGUAGUGCUAAGAACACCGAGGUUGCAGGUUCAAUCCCUGAUGGCUCCAUAUGGAAG